rnacentral:lncRNA from 1 species
AUAUUACAAAAUUUCACGGAUCGCGUAAGCCUGCUUCCUUUUGAUUUCCAGCACGUCUCGGGACUUCACAGAUUGUGCAACAAAGGGUGCCAAGUAUUUCGAAGCGGCCAAUCAAAGGUUGCAUAUCAUCAAGUAAUAAUCCCCGGACGAAAUUAGGGUAUGACAAGUCCUAAUUCUGUAAUUCAUUUAACCAACACAUUCU